rnacentral:rRNA from 1 species
CGAAAAACGGGCCAGGGAGUGGAUCGCGUGCCGAGCUUAAAAUCUUUAAGGUUGUAGGCGAAGGGAAACCGACAAGCUCGCAGUUUAUCCAGGAAGCGGGGUCUUAAGGGCCCNGAGUCACAGCGAUACGACCCGAAACCGGGCGAUCUAGGCCAGGGCAAGGUGAAGUCCCACAACUNAGGGAUGGAGGCCUGCAGAGGUGUUGCCGUUCGAAGCACUC